rnacentral:rRNA from 1 species
CCUACGGGUGGCAGCAGUGGGGAAUAUUGCACAAUGGGCGCAAGCCUGAUGCAGCCAUGCCGCGUGUGUGAAGUAGGCCUUCGGGUUGUAAAGCACUUUCAGCGGGGAGGAAGGCGUUAAGGUUAAUAACCUUGUCGAUUGACGUUACCCGCAGAAGAAGCACCGGCUCACUCCGUGCCAGCAGCCGCGGUAAUACGGAGGGUGCAAGCGUUAAUCGGAAUUACUGGGCGUAAAGCGCACGCAGGCGGUCUGUCAAGUCGGAUGUGAAAUCCCCGGGCUCAACCUGGGAACUGCAUUCGAAACUGGCAGGCUAGAGUCUUGUAGAGGGGGGUAGAAUUCCAGGUGUAGCGGUGAAAUGCGUAGAGAUCUGGAGGAAUACCGGUGGCGAAGGCGGCCCCCUGGACAAAGACUGACGCUCAGGUGCGAAAGCGUGAGGAGCAAACAGGAUUAGAUACCCUGGUAGUC